GACGAACGCUGGCGGCGUGCUUAACACAUGCAAGUCGAACGGAAAGGCCCUGCUUGCCGGGUACUCGAGUGGCGAACGGGUGAGUAACACGUGGGUGAUCUGCCCUGCACUUCGGGAUAAGCUUGGGAAACUGGGUCUAAUACCGGAUAGGACCGCACUUUAGUGUGUGUGGUGGAAAGUUUUUUCGGUGUAGGAUGAGCUCGCGGCCUAUCAGCUUGUUGGUGGGGUAAUGGCCUACCAAGGCGGCGACGGGUAGCCGGCCUGAGAGGGUGUACGGCCACAUUGGGACUGAGAUACGGCCCAGACUCCUACGGGAGGCAGCAGUGGGGAAUAUUGCACAAUGGGCGCAAGCCUGAUGCAGCGACGCCGCGUGGGGGAUGAAGGCCUUCGGGUUGUAAACUCCUUUCGCUAGGGACGAAGCUUUUUGUGACGGUACCUAGAUAAGAAGCACCGGCUAACUACGUA
rnacentral:rRNA from 1 species